GAGGUGAUCCAAUGUCUACC
rnacentral:snRNA from 1 species